AGAGUUUGAUCCUGGCUCAGGAUGAACGCUAGCGACAGGCUUAACACAUGCAAGUCGAGGGGCAGCGGUGGUGAAGGCUUGCCUUUACCAGCCGGCGACCGGCGCACGGGUGAGUAACACGUAUGCAACCUGCCUGCCACAGCCGGAUAAUCGGGAGAAAUUCCGUCUAAUACGGCAUAAUGCAUCGACGGGACAUCCUGUUGGUGCCAAAGGUUGAUUCCGGUGGCGGAUGGGCAUGCGUCGCAUUAGUUAGUUGGCGGUGUAACGGACCACCAAGACGACGAUGCGUAGGGGUUCUGAGAGGAAGGUCCCCCACACUGGUACUGAGACACGGACCAGACCCCUACGGGAGGCAGCAGUGAGGAAUAUUGGUCAAUGGGCGGGAGCCUGAACCAGCCAAGUCGCGUGAGGGAUGACGGCCCUAUGGGUUGUAAACCUCUUUUGCCGGGGAGCAAAGUGCCGCACGUGUGCGGUUUGGAGAGUACCCGGAGAAAAAGCAUCGGCUAACUCCGUGCCAGCAGCCGCGGUAAUACGGAGGAUGCGAGCGUUAUCCGGAUUUAUUGGGUUUAAAGGGUGCGUAGGCGGACGCUUAAGUCAGCGGUAAAAUUGCGGGGCUCAACCUCGUCGAGCCGUUGAAACUGGGUGCCUUGAGUGGGCGAGAAGUACGCGGAAUGCGUGGUGUAGCGGUGAAAUGCAUAGAUAUCACGCAGAACUCCGAUUGCGAAGGCAGCGUACCGGCGCCCAACUGACGCUGAAGCACGAAGGCGUGGGUAUCGAACAGGAUUAGAUACCCUGGUAGUCCACGCAGUAAACGAUGAAUGCUAGUUGUCCGGGGCGAUUGAGUUCUGGGUGACACAGCGAAAGCGUUAAGCAUUCCACCUGGGGAGUACGCCGGCAACGGUGAAACUCAAAGGAAUUGACGGGGGCCCGCACAAGCGGAGGAACAUGUGGUUUAAUUCGAUGAUACGCGAGGAACCUUACCCGGGCUCAAACGCAGGAGGGAUGUUUUUGAAAGGAGGCAGCCAGCAAUGGUCUCCUGCGAGGUGCUGCAUGGUUGUCGUCAGCUCGUGCCGUGAGGUGUCGGCUUAAGUGCCAUAACGAGCGCAACCCCUACCUACAGUUGCCAUCGCGUGAUGGCGGGCACUCUGUGGGGACUGCCUGCGCAAGCAGUGAGGAAGGCGGGGAUGACGUCAAAUCAGCACGGCCCUUACGUCCGGGGCGACACACGUGUUACAAUGGCAGGUACAGCGGGAAGCCACCCGGCGACGGGGCGCGGAACCCGAAAACCUGUCUCAGUUCGGAUUGGAGUCUGCAACCCGACUCCAUGAAGCUGGAUUCGCUAGUAAUCGCGCAUCAGCCACGGCGCGGUGAAUACGUUCCCGGGCCUUGUACACACCGCCCGUCAAG
rnacentral:rRNA from 1 species